CCCGCUGAACUUAAGCAUAUCAAUAAGCGGAGGAAAAGAAACUAACAAGGAUUCCCUUAGUAACGGCGAGUGAAGCGGGAAGAGCUCAAAUUUGAAAUCUUCAAGGUUUUACUUUGACGAAUUGUAAUUUAAAGAAGUGUUUUCUGCUGAAGUUUUGGUAAAAGUUCUUUGGAAUAGGACAUCAUAGAGGGUGAGAAUCCCGUAUUUGACCAUUAUUUUCAGCUUUGUGAUACACUUUCAAAGAGUCGGAUUGUUUGGGAAUGCAGUCCAAAAUGGGUGGUAAAUUUCAUCUAAAGCUAAAUAUUGGUGAGAGACCGAUAGCGAACAAAUACCGUGAGGGAAAGAUGAAAAGAACUAUGAAAAGAGAGUUAAACAGUACGUGAAAUUGUCAAAAGGGAAGCGUUUGACACCAGUGUUGUUUUCUCGAAAAUCAAUUAAAAAUGGCUUGAUUUUGUAUUGCUGAGACCUUAAAAGCUCACUGUAUAUUUUUCAUGUCUUUUUUAAUGCACUUUUCGUUUAACAAGUCAACAUCGGUUUCUUUUGUUGUAAAAGGGUCAUUGGAAGGUGGCUUUCUUUUCGGAGAAAGUGUUUAUAGCCUUUGGCCUCUGCAAUCGGG
rnacentral:ncRNA from 1 species